CCCUUCUUCUAUAAGCACUGUGCUAGAGUUGCAGAAACUGGGGUCCUGUCUUGGUUUCUGUACUAACACCAGCAGAGUACACACAAGAAGUAUCUGCUCUAGAGCCACAGGACAGAGGUGGGCCUCUUUCCUAAUGUCCAGUGUCCUUUGUCUUAAGAUUUGAUGCAAUAUGC